rnacentral:tRNA from 1 species
GCUCCCGUAGUCCAAUUGGCAGAGACGGCGUCCUGAGGGGGCGCUCAGUGCAGGUUCGAGUCCUGUCGGGGGUACC